GAUGAACGCUGGUGGCGUGCCUAAUACAUGCAAGUCGAGCGAACAGACGAGGAGCUUGCUCCUCUGACGUUAGCGGCGGACGGGUGAGUAACACGUGGAUAACCUACCUAUAAGACUGGGAUAACUUCGGGAAACCGGAGCUAAUACCGGAUAAUAUAUUGAACCGCAUGGUUCAAUAGUGAAAGACGGUUUUGCUGUCACUUAUAGAUGGAUCCGCGCCGCAUUAGCUAGUUGGUAAGGUAACGGCUUACCAAGGCGACGAUGCGUAGCCGACCUGAGAGGGUGAUCGGCCACACGGGAACUGAGACACGGUCCAGACUCCUACGGGAGGCAGCAGUAGGGAAUCUUCCGCAAUGGGCGAAAGCCUGACGGAGCAACGCCGCGUGAGUGAUGAAGGUCUUCGGAUCGUAAAACUCUGUUAUUAGGGAAGAACAAAUGUGUAAGUAACUAUGCACGUCUUGACGGUACCUAAUCAGAAAGCCACGGCUAACUACGUG
rnacentral:rRNA from 1 species